rnacentral:rRNA from 1 species
CCUACGGGAGGCAGCAGUGAGGAAUAUUGGUCAAUGGGCGUAAGCCUGAACCAGCCAAGUCGCGUGAGGGAUGAAGGUUCUAUGGAUCGUAAACCUCUUUUAUAAGGGAAUAAAGUGUGGGACGUGUCCUGUUUUGUAUGUACCUUAUGAAUAAGGAUCGGCUAACUCCGUGCCAGCAGCCGCGGUAAUACGGAGGAUCCGAGCGUUAUCCGGAUUUAUUGGGUUUAAAGGGUGCGUAGGCGGCCUUUUAAGUCAGCGGUGAAAGUCUGUGGCUCAACCGCGGCCUGCCGUUGGAACUGGGUGCCUUGAGUGGGCGAGAGGUAUGCGGAAUGCGUGGUGUAGCGGUGAAAUGCAUAGAUAUCACGCAGAACCCCGAUUGCGAAGGCAGCAUGCCGGCGCCCUACUGACGCUGAGGCACGAAAGUGCGGGUAUCGAACAGGAUUAGAUACCCCUGUAGUC